AAAAAGACAAACUCUAGAUUUCCGUGACAACGUUUAACUGUCCGUCUUAUAUGAAAUUUUUUUAUAAUUAGUAUUUUCAUUAUUGUUAGAUGAUAAAACAUGAUUAAUACUUUAUGCGUGAAUUAUCUUUUUAAUUUUUUUUAUAAUUUUUUCAAAUAAAACGGAUGGUCAAACGUUGGACACGGAAAUUAGGGUUGUUUUUUUU
rfam:Oryza nivara chromosome 8, whole genome shotgun sequence.